rnacentral:sRNA from 1 species
CUACUGGGAUGUGGCCUUUAGGUGUUCCCAGUCUGCUUCACCUCUGACAGUGUUUAUCUAAAUAAAAUCCUUUUCUGCUUUGUUUUUUCACAACAGAGAAAGAUAAGAAGAAACGUAAAGAUGAAGGAAAAAGUCGAACUACCCUUCCUGAGCGACCUUUGACAGAGGUGAAGGCUGAGACCCGGGCUGAGGAGGCCCCAGAGAAGAAGAGGGAGAAGCCCAAGUCUCUUCGCACCACAGCACCCAGUCAUGCCAAGUUCCGUUCCACUGGACUAGAGCUGGAGACACCAUCCUUGGUGCCUGUGAAGAAGAACGCCAGCACAGUGGUGGUUUCUGACAAGUACAACCUUAAACCCAUCCCCCUCAAACGUCAGAGCAACGUAGCUGCUCCAGGAGAUGCUACUCCCCCUGCAGAGAAGAAAUACAAGCCACUCAACACAACACCUAAUGCCACCAAAGAGAUCAAAGUGAAGAUCAUCCCGCCACAGCCUAUGGAGGGCCUGGGCUUUCUGGAUGCUCUCAAUUCAGCCCCUGUUCCAGGCAUCAAAAUUAAGAAGAAGAAAAAA